GACGAACGCUGGCGGCGUGCUUAACACAUGCAAGUCGAACGGAAAGGCCCCAGCUUGCUGGGGUACUCGAGUGGCGAACGGGUGAGUAACACGUGGGUAAUCUGCCCUGCACUCUGGGAUAAGCCUGGGAAACUGGGUCUAAUACCGGAUAGGACCGUGCUUUAGUGUGUGCGGUGGAAAGUUUUUCGGUGCAGGAUGAGCCCGCGGCCUAUCAGCUUGUUGGUGGGGUAAUGGCCUACCAAGGCGGCGACGGGUAGCCGGCCUGAGAGGGUGUACGGCCACAUUGGGACUGAGACACGGCCCAGACUCCUACGGGAGGCAGCAGUGGGGAAUAUUGCACAAUGGGCGCAAGCCUGAUGCAGCGACGCCGCGUGGGGGAUGACGGCCUUCGGGUUGUAAACCCCUUUCGGCAGGGACGAAGCUUUUGUGACGGUACCUGCAUAAGAAGCACCGGCUAACUACGUG
rnacentral:rRNA from 1 species